CUGACUUUCACCCUUCUCUAUUUCUCUCUCUCUCAUCACUGAGCUCUCUGGUUCAACGAACAAUAGCCCUAGCCGCAAUCAAAACUCAAUCCCCACCAGCCCAUGGACGAGCAAAUCAUCUGAUCAUUGCAUGUCUGAUUCGUCCAUUUUCCCAGACAUAGAGUAUUUAUGGAAUCCAGCGUUUGCUAAUAUUCAAACAUUCUUGGAUUGAACUAUAACGGAUAUGCCCGAUAUGGAAUCUCAAGAUUCAACUGUUUCACGAGCUGAAGAAAUCAAAGUUCUUGCUAAUGAAGCUUUUAAAGCCUAUAAGUUUGGUCAGGCCAUUGAUCUAUAUACGCAAGCGAUUGAAUUAAAUGGCCAGAAUGCUGUUUACUGGGCUAAUCGUGCUUUUGCACAUACAAAAUUGGAGGAGUAUGGUAGUGCAAUACAGGAUGCUUCAAAGGCUAUUGAAAUUGAUCCUAAAUAUUCGAAGGGUUAUUACAGACGAGGUGCUGCUUUUCUUGCUAUGGGAAAAUUCAAAGAAGCACUAAGGGACUUCCAACAGGUCAAGAAAAUCUGUCCAAAUGAUCCUGAUGCUAUCAAGAAAUUAAAGGAAUGUGAGAAGGCUGUAAUGAAGCUUAAGUUUGAAGAAGCAAUUGCUGCACCGGAGUCUGAAAGGCGCUCAGUAGCUGAUUCUAUUGAUUUUCAGUCUAUAGAUGUGGAGCCACAUUAUUCGGGUGCUAGGAUAGAGGGAGACACUGUUACUUUGAAUUUUGUCAAGAAAAUGAUGAAUGACUUCAAGAAUCAAAAGUGCUUACACAAACGAUAUGCAUUCCAGAUAGUGUUACAAACAAGAGAAAUGUUACAAGCUCUGCCUUCUCUGGUUGAUAUAAAUAUUCCUGAUGGGAAGCAUUUCACUGUUUGUGGAGAUGUACAUGGUCAGUUCUAUGAUCUGUUAAAUAUUUUUGAGCUGAAUGGUCUUCCCUCUGAAGAGAAUCCAUAUCUGUUCAAUGGUGAUUUUGUCGAUAGGGGAUCAUUUUCUGUGGAGGUCAUCCUCACAUUGUUUGCAUUUAAGUGCAUGUGUCCAUCAGGUUUAUCCUCUUUGGUUAUUUAACAAACAUUUUGUUUAAUUAAUCCUUUUCUGUAAUGAUGUAUUAUUAUUAUCAUCAAGUUUUAUUUUUGUCAUUUUUCCCAGUUGUUCUUGCUAUUAUUAUUCUUAAUAUUAUUAUAUCUUGUUUCAACAUUAAAAAGUCAUGUGUUCUUUUGUUGUUUCCUUAUGCUUUUAAUUGCUAGUAAAGUAAUUCCAUUUUCAUGUUCAGUAUACUUACCCAUUUCUAAAACUUUCAGCCAUAUAUCUUUCUAGAGGAAAUCAUGAAAGCAAGAGUAUGAACAAGAUAUAUGGUUUUGAGGGUGAGGUCAGGUCGAAAUUGAGCGAGACAUUUGUGGAACUCUUUGCAGAAGUCUUUUGUUGUUUGCCUUUGGCUCACGUAAUAAAUGAUAAGGUAUUUGUAGUUCAUGGAGGUCUUUUUAGUGUUGAUGGGGUGAAGCUGUCUGACAUUAGAGCCAUUGAUCGGUUUUCUGAGCCCCCUGAGGAAGGGUUAAUGUGUGAAUUGCUAUGGAGUGAUCCACAACCUUUCCAUGGAAGAGGUCCUAGCAAGCGGGGUGUAGGCCUUUCUUUUGGUGCAGAUGUGACAAAAAAAUUUUUGCAGGAAAAUAAUCUAGAUUUAGUUGUGCGAUCUCAUGAAGUAAAGGAUGAAGGUUAUGAGAUUGAGCAUGAUGGUAAACUUAUUACUGUUUUCUCUGCUCCAAAUUAUUGUGAUCAGGUAAUAAAAUUUCGACUCUUUGCUACAAUAGCGAGGAAUAUAUUGUACAAAAUUUACCAUUGGAAUUUGAAUCUUAUUUUUAAUUAUAAAAAGUAUUUUUGAGCUUGUCACGAGUGUAUAACAAAAGAAAACUAGUAUAUUCCAUUUUUUUAAUGGGAACACUUUUCAGAUCGUUCUUUUGAGCAUGAGAAAGAAUGCAGGGAGUUUUGAGCUGAAAUCCUGUUAUUGUAUUAUUGCUGAAGAAACCUUGCAGGGUUCUAGAAGAAACUUCCCUUGGGGGUCUAUGUAGCAGAUGGGAACAUCUAUAAAAGUUGCUUCUUUCUCUCCUACCUUUCUUCCUCAGGAUUCCAGAAGCAACUUGGAAGAUGAGUUUUACUACCAAAACAACUUCAAACAAAUGGGAAAAUGUUGGUCAAUAGAUGCUUUUUGAAAGCACUGGUGAUAUAUUUCAUCAUUUGUUCCUGCUUUCUAAGUGUGCUGGAAGUUCAGAAAACAUGUUUAUCCAGUAUUGAGAAAUAUAUGUUAUAGGCAAAUUCAACUGGGAGUGUGCUGUGGGCUUGGAGGGGGUUAUAUAUAUACUGUUAAAGAUGGUCAGAAAUUUCUUACUUUGGCCCCCUCUCACUGCUUGUUGGUUACUUGGUCCCUCAGUUCUACUUGGGUAGUUUGGAGGAGAAGACAGGACUUUUGGGAGAUCUCUGUUUUUAUUGGUGUAUUAGGGGCAACCUGCUUCUUUUUUAUUUUUUUUUUAAUGAAAAAAAAGGAAACUGUGGCUGUUAACCAAGGGUUGGAGAAGCAAACAAAGGUGUUUAAAAAAAAACCUGAAAAGUGGGCCACCCUCUGUGCUAAAUGGACACAUGGUACAAUAACUUUGGUUUUGGGGACAAUAUUCUUGUUGAUUAUCCUAUUCUGCCAGAAUUUGUAGGAUUCUGUGUCUCAAGUAUCAUGUUGCUUGUUAUUUGUACAUGUACUAUACCCCUUAGAUUCCUUUUUCUUUUGGGUAUUACUUUAUUUUAUAUUUAGAAAGUAAACUGCAUGAUUAUCAUUUUAUUCCAGAGAUUUUAUUACACCUUUGAGCGUGCAUGGUUAUGGUGAUAUUGCUUGUCUUGAAUGUUUCUUGUAUUGUGCACUUUUCAGAUGGGUAAUAAGGGUGCUUUUAUGCGAUUUGAAGCCCCUGAGUUGAAGCCAAAUAUUGUUACAUUCUCAGCAGUGCCUCACCCUGACGUCAAGCCAAUGGCAUAUGCCAACAACUUCCUCCGAAUGUUCUCAUAGUUUUGUACACAUGGAGUGUAUUAUUUUUUGCAAUAAGAUAAGCUCUGGUGCCAAAUUUCAAGCUGUUUCAGAAGGCGACAGGAGAGGAGCUGGUAGUGGUACAUGUUGACAAAUUCAGCAUUUGAAGUCUCUGAUAUUCUUGGAGCAAUCCUUUUGUUUUAGGUUUGGGUUUCGUUUGAAAUUUUCAAUUCAAGCCAGUUCAGUUGUAGGCGUAAAACAUACUUGGCAUGAAUGUUGGUGCCUUUGUAAAAUGUAUCACCUUUUUCUCGUCUUGUUUAGUUCCUUUUAAUUCAAAUGCCAACCAUUUGGAACUGUAAAGUAGUAUUUACAAGGGUUGGGCACGGUUCGGGUGUCUAAACCAUUUUUACACAUGAUCGCUGGACAUAGUUCAUAUUAAAUUCCUUAUUAAAACUGCAACUGUUCAUUAUGUUUCGUCAUAUAUU
rnacentral:misc_RNA from 1 species